UACGAAGGGGGCUAGCGUUGUUCGGAAUCACUGGGCGUAAAGGGCGCGUAGGUGGCUUUGUAAGUCGGGGGUGAAAGCCUGUGGCUCAACCACAGAAUUGCCUUCGAUACUGCAUGGCUUGAGACCGGAAGAGGUUAGUGGAACUGCGAGUGUAGAGGUGAAAUUCGUAGAUAUUCGCAAGAACACCGGUGGCGAAGGCGGCUGACUGGUCCGGUUCUGACGCUGAGGCGCGAAAGCGUGGGGAGCAAACAGG
rnacentral:rRNA from 1 species